CCUACGGGAGGCUGCAGUAGGGAAUAUUGCUCAAUGGGGGAAACCCUGAAGCAGCAACGCCGCGUGGAGGAUGAAGGUUUUCGGAUUGUAAACUCCUUUUGUUAGAGAAGAUAAUGACGGUACCUGACGAAUAAGCACCGGCUAACUCCGUGCCAGCAGCCGCGGUAAUAAGGAGGGUGCAAGCGUUAUUCGGAAGCACUGGGCGUAAAGAGCGCGUAGGCGGGAUAGCAAGUCAGAUGGGAAAUCCUAUGGCUUAACCAUAGAACUGCAUUUGAAACUGUAAUUCUAGAGUAUGGGAGAGGUAGGUGGAAUUCUUGGUGUAGGGGUAAAAUGCGUAGAGAUCAAGAGGAAUACUGAUUGCGAAGGCGGCCUGCUGGAACAUAACUGACGCUGAGGCGCGAAAGCGUGGGGAGCAAACAGGAUUAGAUACCCGGGUAGUC
rnacentral:rRNA from 1 species